rnacentral:rRNA from 1 species
CAGUCGCCGCGGUAAUACGAAGGGUGCAAGCGUUAAUCGGAAUUACUGGGCGUAAAGCGUGCGUAGGCGGUUUGUUAAGUCUGUUGUGAAAUCCCCGGGCUCAACCUGGGAAUGGCAAUGGAUACUGGCAAGCUAGAGUGCGUCAGAGGAUGGUGGAAUUCCCGGUGUAGCGGUGAAAUGCGUAGAGAUCGGGAGGAACAUCAGUGGCGAAGGCGGCCAUCUGGGACAACACUGACGCUGAGGCACGAAAGCGUGGGGAGCAAACAGGAUUAGAUACCCCGGUAGUCCCUGUCUCUUAUAC